GUUGUAGGUAUUCAAAUAGGGAUUUCCUUGUGUGUAAUUCACUUGAUCGGUUGGGACUCCUGCUAAUAUUUGACAUUCUUGUGCAGUGUGUCCAGGGUUUCCACAUAACUCACAGUUUGGAGUUACAGCAGCCACGGUGGCUGCGGGUGGUAUGGUCAAGUUAUCUAAUUUUUGAACAAGGGCAUCUACCUUUGCAUGAACAUGGUCAAGGCUACUA
rnacentral:lncRNA from 1 species